UGCCUCUUCCACCUAAAACUGUUGAAGAUCUCAUAGAGUAAAAGCCCUGCAGGUCCCCGAUAAGGGGUGGACUUGGAGGAGGAGGAGGAGGUGCGGGUCAGCACUCAACAGUGUCCCAGGCAAUAUGCUGACAUUUGAGCAGAGAUGUGCAUUUCUCCAGAAUUGCUGCUUCAACUGUUCUGACCAUCUGCUCAAAAGGAACUUUUAGAUUGUGUCACAAUUUUUGAAACUUCAAGUAAUCCAGAUGGGGAAUUGGAGAAGACCUUAUCAAUCGGUGCUCUUUCAAUUCCCUAGAUACACUCACUUACACUGAAGAUACUUGCAUCCUGCUCUUGAAUGAUUUAAGAAGGGGAUUUUGUACCUUCUUUUUAAAAAAUGAUUAUGCAAGGCUGGCUUCACACAAGGGCUAAACAAACCACUUGUCAUCAAAAGCAGUAAGUUCACCAGACUCUUGGAUGGAGACCCAGAACAUUUGUCCCUUUCAGUAGGGAAGACAGCAGAUGUUCACCCUCAGAUAAGGACCCUGCUUUGCUCACGCCAUCUUUGAGUGGUUGGAAACUGCUUCUAACACUCAAACUGUGAUGAAUACUUCACUGAAAAAGAUUCUGGAAAAUUAUGUAGAUGACAGAAUAUGUUGGGCUGUGGAUGAAGUGGCAGACACAAGCUUCUAACAAGUCUCUCAAGCUCUCUGCACAUUUUCUAGGUCCCUUCUAACCUUGAUAUACAUAUUGUAUAAAGAGGUGGUGGACAGGAUCAAGACAAUGAAUUAGAUGCCAAGAACUAGCCAGCGGGCAUACAGAGAGAUCAGCCACAAAAACAAGUGAUGGAAUGUUGGGUUUGGAUGAGCUUGUUCAAUGAAACAGGAACAGUCCGACAUCAUGCAUCUCAAGAUCAAGUCACUUCCACUUAGAACGCAGUUUGUACCAACUACAUAUAACAACAAACAGGAAAAAAGGAGAGGAAACAUCUUCAUAUUAUAAUCACAGAUAUAAGACUUGGAAAAUACCUUAGCCCAACCCAUUAAACUCAAUUCACAGCUUUUUCACCUCCAAGAUAUUUUAUCUUUCCUUCCUCUGUGAGUUUUGAAACAAUUAUACCAACUGGAUUCUGUAGUGAAUAGUAAUACUCGCAUGGCAAACAACUUUGCAACUAGUUCGUUUCUUGCUCUUUCCUGUAAAAAGUGACCCUACACAAAAGAGUCCUUUUUAAUUUAAUUUUGUGUGCACAGUGUUGGAGAUUGAUUCCAGGUCUUUUCAUUAAGCUACAAUUCCAGCUCUUUUUCUAAAAUUUUUCAAUUUUCAGACAGCUGGGUUAGUAAACACACAGGCUGGGGUUGAACUUGCAAAACUUCUGCCUCAGUCUCCCAGACAGCUGAGACUACAGCAUGUGCCACCAUGCUCAGUUUAUUGUGGAAGAGUGACACGGGGGUGAGCUGGAUUAGAAUUUUGUAAUCUCUGAUCAAAAUAAUCCCAUGUAAUUAAAGGCACACGAGUAUAGAUGAAAAGCUAAAACAAUGCCUCAUAAAAUCGGAAAUGUUUCUUAAAAAGUAAAUAUUUCUGUAACUUACAGUAAUACCUCUAGUUGUCAGCUUGCACAUCUCUCAGCAUCUUUUCUGCAGAGCCUAAAGCACUUUAUGUAUGCAACAGUUCUCACCAUAACUUUGGAAAGCAGAGGAGGCAGCACAGAUAAUUAUUCUCCUUUUGCUGAAGAUACAAUCACAUCAGGGAAAGAUGAUAGAAGAUUUGCCCAGAUCAGAAAAAGUGAGUGGGAAGCUGUCAUUUAACAAUUCUUUUAGGAAUUUAUUUAUUGAGUUUUAUCUGUGUGGUUGGCCCGGGGGAGCAUGGGCAGUAUGCUGGUGCAGAAGAAGUGGGAAAGGGGGAGAUGGUCCGAGUAACACAGUACCAGAACAGAAGAAUGAAAAAGUCUGUAAUUUCCACUCGAGCUAUUGGCACAGAAGCUCUAUUCAGCUGCUGGACACAAUCUAGGAAUACAACUUGGCCUCAUCUGACUUGUCGUAGAAGUGAGAAACAGAGAUUUCUUUACUCACUUAUGAAAAGAAUAGAUGUUUUAAAAACCCAAUAGGAGGGAAGAGUUUGAGAGAUGUCUUCUUAAAAAGAAAAGAGCUGCUUUGAAAAAUACAUACAACAAAAGAAAAAAGAAAAAUACACACAGUUCCUGGAGAUGUUCUCCAAAAUUUCAGCCCAUUAUUUUCUGUCUAUCACCCUGGCUAAUCAUUCUUCAGAGCACAAACAUAUACUUGGUGGGCACCACCAAGCCACAGGGGUUUUGGUCAUAUACAUCUUUCAAAAGCAUAUUUCUCCCACUACAAGGGAAUUUUCAUGAGGACAGGGCUUUUAUCCUUGCUCCCUUUUUCAAGGCCUAGAACAGAACUUCGGAUUUAAUAGAUUCUCAAAAAUAUUUAAGUAGCCUGGCAUGGUCACACAUUAGCAGGCUGAGGCAGGAGGAUCUUGAAUUUGAGUCUAGCCUGGACUCUCAGUGACUGAGACACCUUUCCGUUCGCUGAGUGGACCACGGCCUUCUUGGUUGAUGCAUCUGCAUCUGUGACUGCUGCUCGGAUCAUCAGCCCUGUGCGGCUGCUGUGGCCCCAGCCAGGCGGAAGCUAAGGAGCUGGGGGAGUCAGCCAAGGAUAUGGAUUUGAGUUAUUCAGGGAAGUUUGUUUUAAAAAUUGAAAAUAAUAAAAGACCUGGGAAUGGAGCUCAAUGCAAAAGCCCUGGGUUCAAUCUUCAGUAGCACAAAAGAGGAAAAAAAAGGGGAAGGAGGAAGGAAAGGAAGAAAGAAUGGAGGUAAGGAGGGAAAAAAAGAUGCCAGUGAAGAAGUUCCAGUUCUGUUCAGUUUCAUGACCUUUGAAAAGUCAUUCCAUUUCCUGGAGUCUGUUAAAAAAGUAUUCAACCAGAUAAGCCCUUUCAAUCCUUUAAUACACUAUUUUAUAUAUACAGUGAACUAUAAGCAUAAGCCAGUGUGUAAUGAGUGAAACUAGAGUGUGGUUUAUGUUUCUUGGCUGUCUAGAAUCUUCUUUCUCACAAAUGAAGAUGACUUAGUUGGUUGCUUUCAAGUGGUUAGACAAAAAGACCAAACUCCUCAUCCUUGCCUGACUCCUGCAACUGCUUGGCUUCCUCCGCGGCUGUGGCCACCACAGCAGCAGGGGUGGUGAAAGAAGCAGCAGUCACAAACACAGGUGCAUCGGCCGUGAAGGCCAUGGUCCACUCAGCAGGCGGGAAGGUGUCUCGGUUGCUGAGAUAAAUCCAGGACCUGUGCGUGCCCACUAUGACAGAAGAGGGACCAACACAGCACUGAGGUUCACAUCUGCAGACAAGCACUGGUGACCCUGAGAGACAUGCCAGCAAGAGGCAAGCUCGCAGUUCUUCUGGGGUGUCAGGAACUCCAGGGUUAUGCUGCUGCUGCUGCUGAAACCCUGCUGGAUGAGGAGCCAAGCAGACGUCAGCAUGUGGCUGCAAUAGCUUCCACCUUGUCUCAGUCUUUAUCUGCUACAUGGCACACAGGAUUUCCAUGGCAACCCUGGAGAGUCUAGAGGUGACAUCUAAAGCCAGGAAGAAAGGAAACUUUGCAGGCCAAGACCAGUGUUCUGGGCUGGAGUAAUGACUUCACGUGAGGCAAUGGCACCAGCACAGCUAGUAGCUGGCAUCCUACCGACAGCAGCAUGUCCCUGAUCUCAGUGAGACUUCUCGAGGAACUUAAAGCCCGCAUUCCACCUGAUAUGAGGCAACAUUUUCUCAAGAGCUGAGCUGUUUCCUGGAUGACCUUGAGUGGUCUUGUACAUCCUGGUGCUCUUGUCCAUCAGCACCACGGCUGUCCCUCAUGGCCCACAUGGAUCUGCUGCAGCUGUGUGGGACCUACAUCGAAGUAUUUUGGAUAAUUCUCUGAAUGUUUGGUGACCAUAAGUAAUUGGAUUUUGAGGUUGUACUGUCUUCCCUGGAUGCCAUGGUGGUGAAUCAGAAAUUGCACAGAGGAUUUAAAGGCUAUGUCAUGCUCACUGGGAUACCUGAUGGGGGAAGAGUGCCAAGUACCCCAUUUCUCUGUAGAGAACUUGGUACCCUGAGUCCUGCCUCUCCAGGGAGGAUACCAGAUGCUCAUACAACCUUCCAAUUAAACUAGGGACUGGCCGUAUGACUCGGAUUCUGCCUAUGAGACGUAUUUCUUUUCUAGAUUUCUUUUCUAGAGAUGAUCAGUGUGAGGAGACAGGUAGUUUGUGAAAUUUACUUUUUGGCAGGUAGGCUGCAGGGACAGAGCACCUGCCCUCCACGCCAGGGAAGAGUAUGCGCUGAGGGGCCGUAGCUGUGGAGACCCUGAUAGUACGAUUUGGAGUUGGGGCUACACAGCCUCUAAACCACUUGUUUCCUCAAGACUGAGUUACCACAUAACCUUUAAUAAAUCACCUUCUAUUUACACUACUCUAGAUUGGACUCUGAUGUUUGCACUAAGAACACUGAUUGACAAAAGGAGACACCAACAGAAGGUUGGCAGCACACAGAGAAGAAUGCUGACUUUACUUGGGAGAAAUCAGGAGAGAUGGGUUGAGAGGGAACUUUUGAUUGUAAGAUGUCAGCACAUGAAAAUGGGUUUUACUCUGUUCUCUUUUGUUUGAUUCUCUUAUGUCUGAUGGUAUGUGCAGCUAUUUUGAAGAUAACAAGAGGUAUUAUAAUUGCCAUUAUUG